rnacentral:misc_RNA from 1 species
ACGCUGGGCCGGGAAAUGGACGGUGGACGGACAUUAGGAUGCCGGCCUCUUCUUCGUUCCAUAUAGCAGCUAGCUCCGGCAGAAGCCUUCGCUCCACGCAAAAGGAACAAAACAAGAGCAGAACACGAAGACAUCACAUGGUUCACAUCAGCGGUGUUUCUUUCUCCUCCACCAGAGUCCAGAGAACGCUUGAGAAUCCUUCCGCAGUAGGCACAGAAACCCGAGUUCCACCGCUUCUAGACUCUAAAAAGCACCUAGAAGCCCGGUCACCGGAGAAACUCGGCGCGGGACGCCGUCGACAGCUCCCUGCGCAGCUUGCACGAGAAGAGGCGGCACGCGUCCAUGCUGAGGUCGACGGCGGCGGCGAGGGCGACGAAGGCCGCGGCGUCCUCGGCGCACCCGACGUGCGCGACGCCCACCUCCACGGUGGGCCUGCUGCAGCGGCCUUCCCCCUGGACCGCCGCCGACAUCACGAAGCCGCCGAAGGGCCAGAUGCCGUGGCCCAUGUCGCCGCUGCUGCUGCACCAGAACGGCUGCGCCGCCGCCGUGAGGUCGAUGGCGAAGCGCCCGCCGCGGGAGGCCGGGACGCUGGCCUCGGCGACGCAGACGCCGGCGCCCCCCGUGGCGUGGCCGGGCACCAGCUCGAAGCGGUAGCCGAGGGUGUCGCCGCGCCCGCGCCAGCACUCGAGGCGGCCCCACGGCGCCCAGGUCCCGUCCGCGGGGCGCAGGAUGAGCCAGGCGCCCGGGCUGGACCGGCUCACGUGGUCCGUACCCGGGGACGCCACGAACGGCGUCACCAUCGACGCCAGCGCCACCGGCGACCCCGACAGGUCGUGCACCGUCACCGACCACCCCUUGCGCUCCUUCCCCGCGCGCUCGCGCUCCGACCCCAGCUUCGCCAGCCAGUUGCGCGCGCCCGGAUCAGACUGCACGGACCUAGAUGGAUGGAUGGAUGGAUAGGAUCAUAUCAUAUCGAUGAAGAAAUGGAUGCAUGCAGUGGGGAUUGCUAUACUGACUGACCGCGAGCGCAGGUCGCUGCUGCUGCGGCAGGAGAACCUGCACGUGAACAUGGGCUGCUUCAUGCUGCCCUUCACCUGGAGCACCUGCGGGCUGCACUCGGGCUCGCCGUCGAACUGGAACACGAACCUGGGGUCAGGCUCGGCGCGGACGGUGAUGCUGAGCUGCGCGCGCGCGGAGGAGGAGGCCGCCGCCGCCGCCUUGCCGCGGCGGCUGCCGACGGCGACCCAGCCGCUGUGGAAUACGACGGGCUUGGCCAUGGCAGCCCUGAGGUCGAGCGGGAGGACGACCUUGCCGAGCAGCCUACCCGACGUGGCGCCGCCGCCGCCGCAGGACGCGCUCACGCCCCCGCCGCGGCCGGCG